GACGAACGCUGGCGGCGUGCUUAACACAUGCAAGUCGAACGGAAAGGCCCUGCUUGCCGGGUGCUCGAGUGGCGAACGGGUGAGUAACACGUGGGUGAUCUGCCCCGUACUUUGGGAUAAGCCUGGGAAACUGGGUCUAAUACUGGAUAGGACCAUGCUGCAGGUGGUGUGGUGGAAAGAUUUUUUCGGUCAGGGAUGAGCUCGCGGCCUAUCAGCUUGUUGGUGGGGUAAUGGCCUACCAAGGCGUCGACGGGUAGCCGGCCUGCGAGGGUGGACGGCCACAUGGGGACUGAGAUACGGGCCAGACUCCGACGGGAGGCAGCAGCGGAGAAUAGUGCACAAUGGGCGCAAGCCUGAUGCAGCGACGCCGCGCUGGGGAUGGCGGCCUUCGGGUUGUAGACUCCUUUCAGCCAUGACGAAGCCUCUUUUGGGGUGACGGUAGUGGUAGAAGAAGCACCGGCUAACUACGUG
rnacentral:rRNA from 1 species